UUAUAAUAAUAUGACCGAGUCGGAACGUUUAAUAAAACAUCAAGGUUCCGCGUACUUAGAUCGUGUCUGAUUUUUUAUAAAAAUACAGUGAUGAUUUCCACUUAAGCACAUCGUCGUGAUCUAUUACCAUUAUUUUAUUAUUAUCAAUUCAUUAUACCUCGGUCUAAAUUCUAAACUGCUAUGCCUCACUCAUGUAAAAACGAUAAAUCUCAGUCGUAGACUACACAGUUGUGUGCACGCCAACGCUUGAACAAAUUCCGUAAUGAUUAAAUAAAACAGAAAUCGAAAUUAUAUACUUUAAAUCGUCCGAAAAAACCGCCGGGUCGUGAUAAAAGGAUUACCUUGUACGUUAUUUUAUUGUGUAAACAACGCAUCUGUCUGUUAAGUCACAUGUGACGUUUAUUAGAUUACGAAAGGACUUGUUUCUAAAAAAAAAUACCCAAACAGUGCGGGCAUAAAACACACCGUAUCCCGUAU